rnacentral:rRNA from 1 species
GUAGGGAAUAUUGCACAAUGGAGGAAACUCUGAUGCAGCGACGCCGCGUGAGUGAUGAAGGCCUUCGGGUCGUAAAACUCUGUGAUAAGGGAAGAUGAUGACGGUACCUUAUCAGAAAAGACCGGCUAACUUCGUGCCAGCAGCCGCGGUAAUACGAGGGGUCUAAGCGUUGUUCGGAAUCACUGGGCGUAAAGCGGGUGUAGGUGGCUAUGCAAGUUGGAUGUGAAAGCCCCGGGCUCAACCCGGGAAGUGCAUCCAAAACUACGUAGCUUGAGUGCGGGAGAGAAAGGCAGAAUUCCUGGUGUAGUGGUGAAAUACGUAGAUAUCAGGAGGAACUCCGGUGGCGAAGGCGGCCUUUUGGCCCAGCACUGACACUCAGACCCGAAAGCGUGGGUAGCAAACAGGAUUAGAAACCCUAGUAGUCC